AAUCAACGCUGGCGGCGUGCCUCAGACAUGCAAGUCGAACGAUUAAAGCUCUCUUCGGAGAGUGUAUAGAGUGGCGCACGGGUGAGUAACACGUAAGUAAUCUACCUUCGAGUGGGGAAUACCGUCCGGAAACGGACGCUAAUACCGCAUAAUGCAGCGGCAUCGUAAGAUGACAGUUGUUAAAGAUUUUAUCGCUUGAAGAGGAGCUUGCGGCAGAUUGGCUAGUUGGUAAGGUAAUGGCUUACCAAGGCUACGAUCUGUAACCGGUCUUAGAGGACGGUCGGUCACACUGACACUGAAUAACGGGUCAGACUCCUACGGGAGGCAGCAGUCGGGAAUUUGGGCAAUGGGCGAAAGCCUGACCCAGCAACGCCGCGUGAAGGAUGAAGUAUUUCGGUAUGUAAACUUCGAAAGAAUAGGAAGAAUAAAUGACGGUACUAUUUAUAAGGUCCGGCUAACUACGUGCCAGCCGCCGCAGU
rnacentral:rRNA from 1 species